AGAUGCGACCGGCGCACGGGUGAGUAACACGUAUCCAACCUGCCGAUAACUCGGGGAUAGCCUUUCGAAAGAAAGAUUAAUACCCGAUGGCAUAAUAGAACCGCAUGGUUUGAUUAUUAAAGAAUUUCGGUUAUCGAUGGGGAUGCGUUCCAUUAGGCAGUUGGUGGGGUAACGGCCCACAAACCUUCGAUGGAUAGGGGUUCUGAGAGGAAGGUCCCCCACAUUGGAACUGAGACACGGUCCAA
rnacentral:rRNA from 1 species